rnacentral:lncRNA from 1 species
UGGAAGAUAUGGUUAAUCUGGGAUUAUAGGACGUGUAAGCUCAAAGUAAUUUCCAUUGUAACUCGUAUAGCUUUCUACUCAGCCCAUGACAUUCCUACCUGGUUCCAGUUCUUGCAAUUCAAAGAGAACAGGUCAAUGUCAGUGUUAACAUGUGGGUAUGAAAACAGCAAGUACCCGCAUAUGAAUUGGAACUGGGCUCACUGAAGAAAGCAUGUAAUUGGAGUGGGAAUAAAAGCAUCCAACUAUUAUACUUGUGUGUGUACACACACACAUUAGAUAUACUGCUACAGAUAUAGAUAGAUGCCAGGUGUGCUGGUCACUUUGCGAAUCUCAUCACACUUUACCUUCAUGACAAUCCAGAAAGGUAAGUACUAAUCCCACUUCACAGAUCAAGACUAUUCUUACUUACAGAAGUUAACAGUGCUCUCUCACUGGCUGGAUUGGCAUGGAUGCCUAUUUUUGAUAGUAUUUCUAAUCCUUACCACUGAAAGCAUUGGAAUGACACUUCAUGUAUUUUUUUCAGUAGAGAAGUAAUAGAAACUAUUCCCCUUAAAUGGCAGAUGUGAUAUCUCAAGCACAAAAGCUUGGGUGACUCACUCAAGUCAAUAACAACUGUAGGACAGGAGCAUUUCCAGUUGGCCCCGUAUUCCUUCUACUUAGUCUUUUUUGUUCUCAUGUAAAUACAAAGUCAUAAAUUUGUGGGGGUUCAUAUUGGCUUUGUUCCUUUUCCCAUCUAGUUACCACAAGAGACCUUUCACUCUCCCUAGUGACACCAUUCAACCUCUACAUAACCCUACAACAAAUACCCACUUCACUACCAUAUCACAUGGCCAGACCAGUGGUCUUUUCCUUUAAUGUUACAUAGAAUAAUAUUAUUUCUCCAUCAAUUAACUCUGAUUGGAAUCAUGAUUAUCACUAGUUUUAUUCUUCAGGCUUGAUAGAGUACCAGCUGUGUCCAACAAAUGUAACAACAGUGGCUUCCAGCCAAGUGCAACUGAGGUUUUUACAAGAAUAGAUACUUCGUGUAUUCUAAUGACAAAAGCACAUAAAUGAGGACUAAUAUUCUGUCUGUGGCAGAGAGAAAAUCCUCUUGACUUUGAAGAGGUUCAAAGGCCCACACACACAGAAAACUGAGUGCUCUGUCAUGCUAUCUGGAUCAAGGGACUCCCCCAAGGGGCCGGCAUCCCGGCCUUAGAAAGAUGUCUGGGCCCUCAUCACUGAGGCCUUUGAAACCUUGUACCAGAAACCCCCAGGGGUGCCUCUCCAGCCUGCUCCCCUGGAACUUCUCAGGUACCCAUGACACAGCCAGAUAACCAGCCAGUUGUCACCUACCAUCUAGGACAGUCUCUUACUCCUACCUGUCCAUGCAUGCUCACUAAACUUGCCCUGCAGCAGAAGUAUGAAUGACUCUUUAUUAAAAUAGACAGGAAAAACAAUAGUGUCUCAUCUCACACCUGCACUAGGAAAAAAUCCUCUGUCUUCCUCUCUCCCUUCUGGGCCCACUCCCUCCAAGUCAUCUCAGAGCUGCUGCCAGCAGCAUGUAAAAUAUGAAUCUGACUUUUUGACCCAUCUGAUUAAAAACUGAAGUUGGAGCACCUCUGGCAGCAGAUUGAAGUCCAAACCCCUUCAAAAAGUAUUCAAGGGCCUUCACAACCUGAUUUCAACAAUAUCCUGAACAGUUUUCCCAUACACUGGAGCUCUGGCCUUCCCAGGUAACUCACUACCCCCUGAAGAUGUUGUACAUUUUCAUUAUAUAUGAUUUUUGUUACUAUUCAAUUUAUCUAGAAUACAUCACAUCCCCUAUCUCACCUCACUCACCUGACAAACUCCCAAUCAUUCUUUGAGAACUAGCUAAAAUGUUCUCACCCCUCUAAUGCUUUCCCUGACCAUCCCAGGCCAAAUUAACCAGUCCUUCCUCUGUGACUCUGCCUAUUGCACUUAUUCUGAUUUUCCCAGCUCAACAGAUGACAGAGCCAAGACUCAAACCCUGGCCUUCUGACUCCAAGUUCUAAGGUCUUUACUUAACCCCUUGCCUACUGUGCAAUAUUACAAAUGGAAUCAUGCGUCAAUUCUGAAUCCCGACUGGCAGGCCAAUUGUGGGUAGUCAGUAAACUUACAGUGGAUGAAUGAAUGAACAACAACCUGAAGGAAGCUUCUACUAUCCCCACCCACCCCCCACCACACACACACACACACACACACACACACACACACAGAGUUUAUUCUUCGAACUGGAAUUUGUAAAGACAGCUUGGUUUCCCAGAUGCAUCCAACUCAUCAGGUACUACAAAUUCUGUAACCAGGCCCCAAUUUAGGGAUACUACAACUAUGCAUCAUGUAAUCAUGUAGGUCCUCCAGUGAUACUCAUCUUGCUCAUUUGGCCAUGGAUAAAGGAGAAAAGAGAGAGAAGUUCCCUUUCAGCACCCUAACACAUCUCUUAAUACAGCCUCUAAGUCUUUGAGUCCUCCAGGAGCCAGCAGCCAAGUCCAAACUAAAAGCAUCACAUGUUGUUUUGGAGAAAGAAGCCAGGGUGUCCACAGUAAUAUAAAUACAGAGACAGAUAGGACGAGCAGGCCCUAUGGAGAGAGGCCAAGCCUGAGAAAGUCAAAGGGCUUUGAGCUCUGAAUUAUGCUCUGUCAAAGAAAAAAAAAAGUAGAAGAUAAAAGAGAAAGAAUAAACAAACUUCUUCAUUUUUACUUUUCACAAAAAAGUCUCUUCUGGAAGCAGCAAAUAAAAUCUUCCCAACUCACUGGGUGCUGAGUAGAGUGUUAAGACACUAGCCCUUGAAGGAAGAAUGAAUAAGCAAUUCAAAGUGGGCUUUUCUGCCCUAGGCUAAAUCUGAAAUCAUCCAUUUUGCCAGCAGUAUUCUGUCUGCCAACCUACCUGCAAAGAAAGGGGCCAUUUAAAACUUCACAUCCACCCGAGAUGGCUGUUGUACAAAACACACACUCACAGGCUCCCCUCAAAGCCUAGUAAGGAAGAAGGAAGAAGGAAAAAGCAAAGGAAAUAUCUGGCAGCUCCUAGACUUUAGGAAUUCCACAAACAAAGCCAUUGCCAACAUCUAUUUGACAGGAUGUAUAGAGAGUUCAUAAAGUAAGUGUUUAUAGAAAUUCCAAAAUGUUUAAAACUAUCUCUUGAUUUUUGAAGGUCACUGUAAUCUAGUCUAUUGGAGAAUGCUAUUGUAGAGUCUUUGGCUAUUGUUACUUAUACCUGCAUAUAUGAAAUCACCACUCCUAAAAACCACGAAUUAGAAGGCUGAUUUGUUUAAAGAAAUACUGUUGUCCAUGAUGGAAGAAGGAUGCUAACUCACAGAGAGAAUGAUGCUGCCUGUGGAACAGAGUCGGAGCUGGCUUUUAUGGAACCUAUUGUCACUUUGAUUAUACACUGUCUAGGACAGGACUGAGGCCCACAUAAUACCAAGCAUACCACAAAUACGUAAGUUCGCUGUUGAGUUUGUUUCUUUUUAUUGUUUAAGAAAAAAGAAUGCUGGGGUUUGAGUUGUUCUUUUACACCCAGAACACACUACACAUCAGAGAUGUGCUGACACCGUGCUUUUUCUUUUUUAUAUAACAAGAAAAAGUGGCAUAGAGGGAAAAAGAGGUCAAAUUAAACAUCAAGGUAGCUAAAAGGAAAAUUGUGUCCGCUGCUCUAAUAUCACAAUCCCAAGGAGAACUGCAGACAUUUGUCCUCGAGUUCCUCAGGUUGCCAGUAAUGAUGUUUCUGGUGAUCUGGCUCAGAAGGCUGAGCUGAUGAGUGAUCACUCAGAAAUACUGAAUCAGGCAAUGGAAAUUCUGAAUCGGUGGGCUCUGGAGAAGGAACUGAGGGCGAGGUGACUCGGGGCCGGAGGGCUAUUAUGGACUAUGGACAAGCUGAAGGCAUGGGAAGCCUGACCAGUAGAUAGAGGAAUAUGAACUUGGUGGACAGGGAAAAGCAGGGACGUCAUGAACGAAAGACCACAGACCCUCUGUUCUAGUCCAUGGGGCCAGGCUGUGCUCCACUGCCUACUCUUGGAUUCCCCAAAGAAUGCUUUAUGUCCUUAUAAUAAAUCCACCUUUCCAUGGACAAAAAUGAGUGUGUCUCUGUGUCUUCAAACCUGAGAGCUAAAACCAAAAAACAUAACU